rnacentral:rRNA from 1 species
ACGCUGGCGGCACGCCUAACACAUGCAAGUCGAACGAAGUAGCAAUACUUAGUGGCAGACGGGUGAGUAACAUGUAGGUAUCUGCCCUUUGGCCUGGAAUAACACGAGGAAACUUGUGCUAAUACCGGAUAAGUCUUUACGGAGAAAGCUUUAUGCACCAUUGGAUGAGCCUGCACUUGAUUAGUUUGUUGGUGGGGUAAUGGCCUACCAAGACUGUGAUCAAUAGCUGAUUUGAGAGGAUGAUCAGCCACAUUGGGACUGAGACACGGCCCAAACUCCUACGGGAGGCAGCAGUGGGGAAUCUUGCACAAUGGAGGAAACUCUGAUGCAGCGAUGCCGCGUGAGUGAAGAAGGCCCUUGGGUUGUAAAGCUCUUUCGUCGGGGAAGAAAAUGACUGUACCCGAAUAAGAAGGUCCGGCUAACUUCGUGCCAGCAGCCGCGGUAAUACGAAGGGACCUAGCGUAGUUCGGAAUUACUGGGCUUAAAGAGUUCGUAGGUGGUUGAAAAAGUUAGUGGUGAAAUCCCAGAGCUUAACUCUGGAACUGCCAUUAAAACUUUUCAGCUAGAGUAUGAUAGAGGAAAGCAGAAUUUCUAGUGUAGAGGUGAAAUUCGUAGAUAUUAGAAAGAAUACCAAUUGCGAAGGCAGCUUUCUGGAUCAUUACUGACACUGAGGAACGAAAGCAUGGGUAGCGAAGAGGAUUAGAUACCCUCGUAGUCCAUGCCGUAAACGAUGUGUGUUAGACGUUGGAAAUUUAUUUUCAGUGUCGCAGGGAAACCGAUAAACACACCGCCUGGGGAGUACGACCGCAAGGUUAAAACUCAAAUGAAUUGACGGGGACCCGCACAAGUAGUGGAGCAUGUGGUUUAAUUCGAAGAUACGCGCAGAACCUUACCAACACUUGACAUGUUCGUCGCGACUCUAAGAGAUUAGAGUUUUCGGUUCGGCCGGACGAAACACAGGUGCUGCAUGGCUGUCGUCAGCUCGUGUCGUGAGAUGUUGGGUUAAGUCCCGCAACGAGCGCAACCCUCACUUUUAGUUGCCAUCAUUAAGUUGGGCACUCUGAAAGAACUGCCAGUGAUAAGCUGGAGGAAGGUGGGGAUGACGUCAAGUCCUCAUGGCCCUUACGUGUUGGGCUACACACGUGCUACAAUGGUAUCUACAACAGGAAGCAAGACUGCGAAGUUAAGCAAAUCCCGAAAAGAUACCUCAGUUCGGAUUGCACUCUGCAACUCGAGUGCAUGAAGCUGGAAUUACUAGUAAUCGUGGAUCAGCGUGCCACGGUGAAUGCGUUCCCGGGUCUUGUACACACCGCC